rnacentral:rRNA from 1 species
GAUGAACGCUGGCGGCGUGCCUAAUACAUGCAAGUCGAGCGAACAGACGAGGAGCUUGCUCCUCUGACGUUAGCGGCGGACGGGUGAGUAACACGUGGAUAACCUACCUAUAAGACUGGGAUAACUUCGGGAAACCGGAGCUAAUACCGGAUAAUAUAUUGAACCGCAUGGUUCAAUAGUGAAAGACGGUUUUGCUGUCACUUAUAGAUGGAUCCGCGCCGCAUUAGCUAGUUGGUAAGGUAACGGCUUACCAAGGCAACGAUGCGUAGCCGACCUGAGAGGGUGAUCGGCCACACUGGAACUGAGACACGGUCCAGACUCCUACGGGAGGCAGCAGUAGGGAAUCUUCCGCAAUGGGCGAAAGCCUGACGGAGCAACGCCGCGUGAGUGAUGAAGGUCUUCAGAUCGUAAAACUCUGUUAUUAGGGAAGGACAAAUGUGUAAGUAACUAUGCACGUCUUGACGGUACCUAAUCAGAAAGCCACGGCUAACUACGUG